rnacentral:rRNA from 1 species
GACGAACGCUGGCGGCGUGCCUAAUACAUGCAAGUAGAACGCACAGUUUAUACCGUAGCUUGCUACACCAUAGACUGUGAGUUGCGAACGGGUGAGUAACGCGUAGGUAACCUGCCUGGUAGCGGGGGAUAACUAUUGGAGACGAUAGCUAAUACCGCAUAAUAUUAAUUAUUGCAUGAUAAUUAAUUGAAAGGUGCAAUUGCACCACUACCAGAUGGACCUGCGUUGUAUUAGCUAGUAGGUGAGGUAACGGCUCACCUAGGCGACGAUACAUAGCCGACCUGAGAGGGUGAUCGGCCAAACUGGGACUGAGACACGGCCCAGACUCCUACGGGAGGCAGCAGUAGGGAAUCUUCGGCAAUGGACGAAAGUCUGACCGAGCAACGCCGCGUGAGUGAAGAAGGUUUUCGGAUCGUAAAGCUCUGUUGUAAGAGAAGAACGGGUGUGAGAGUGGAAAGUUCACACUGUGACGGUAUCUUACCAGAAAGGGACGGCUAACUACGUG